rnacentral:lncRNA from 1 species
GUCAAACUCACUCAAAAUCACCACUGUCCUUAGGGAAAAUCCUCAGCCUGUUUUGCAAAAGACAGUGGGAAAAAAAACCAUCAGUAUAGAUUCCCUCCCCUCUCCAGCACUCGGCAGUCCCACAGGAAGCCCAGCAAAGUCCCUGCACCUCCAAGGCCCACGGAGCUGUGUGCCCACGGUGCACAAGAAGCAGGCUAGCAGGGAGCUGAGAAGCAUGAAGUGGCCUCCUGCAGCAGAAAAACCUGUGUGAGGAUAUGUGAAAAAUAACCCUGACUCGCUAAUCCUAGCUGUGAGCAAACAAUUAGCAGGAAGCAGAGGCAAACAGGAAAGCUGAUUUAAUUAUGUGACACUGAUACAGCCAGUGAACUGGAGGGGAGGGAAGGGGGGAGGUGGGGAGGGCUGGGGAUGUGGGGUCAAAACAGUUUGUAAAAAUCUGUUUCACAAAAGCUGUUGUUCCCCUCGGGGCAGAGAGAGAUUACCGUGGCUCAGUGUCUAUCAAACACGGGAAGAGAAUAGGGCCAGGGGCAAUGAGACAGCUUCCGAGUAUGAAGGGCCCUUCUUCUUCUCCGCAGCAACCAGCAGCCUGCCAAAGAAUUCCUGUAAGCUCUCGGCGGCUUUGUGUGCCUGCCCGGGCUGUGGGGAGCACUGCAGCAGGCCUGCCUAUUGUCGGCAGGGCUCAAAGGGAGCCCGGCAGAGAAAAGGGGAGCUGGGGGAGGAAGAGGGCUUAAGGGAGCUUGUUGUUAUCAAAGCCGUGGAGCUUAUUGUGCCAGAGCAGAAUCACGCUGCCUCUGAGCCCCUUCAGUGUGGCUGCUUAUGGAGGCACUGCGGGCAGACAGGGUGGGAUGUGCUCCUCUCAGUUUGCAGGGUGCCUCUGCGCUGCCCACUAGCACCCUCUGUCCCCAGCUGGGAUGUGCAGGGGGAGGCAGCCCUGCACCCCACUUCCUGUACCCACCAGUAUCCCAGGACACCUGCCACGGGACCAGAGCCCCAUACAGAGCUCCUGCUGAGGCAUCUGCUGCAGCCAGGCGUACACAGGGC